UACGGAGGAUCCGAGCGUUAUCCGGAUUUAUUGGGUUUAAAGGGUGCGUAGGCGGCCUAUUAAGUCAGGGGUGAAAGACGGUAGCUUAACUAUCGCAGUGCCUUUGAUACUGAUAGGCUUGAAUGUAUUUGAGGUAGGCGGAAUGUGACAAGUAGCGGUGAAAUGCAUAGAUAUGUCACAGAACACCAAUUGCGAAGGCAGCUUACUAAAGUAUGAUUGACGCUGAGGCACGAAAGCGUGGGGAUCAAACAGG
rnacentral:rRNA from 1 species